CCGAUGAACAGUGAUUUGAGAUCAUUUUAGUUUUCGUUUCCAAAGAGCACAGAAAACGUAAAUAUGCAUGUUUAAAUACUGUAGUGAAUGCGAGACUAAAAAGUGGUGAGGUGCCUCCUUCAGACUUAAAAUAUUACCAAAUUACAACAUUUUAUAAAAGAAUGAAGGAAAAUGGAAAGAAGUUGGAAAAAUUAAAAUCCGUGUUAAACAGCCCCUUUGACUUUAACUAGCUUUUCUACUUUACUUAGGUUUGAUUGAGUACGACCAACUCGUAAACAUAUUGUUUACUUUUUCAUCACAUGUUUUACUGACAAUAUCGUUUCAUCUAGCCUUGAUGUAAGUGUAUAAAUGUACAGUUACCGGAGAAAGUAAUUCAAUAGAUGUUAAAAACCGAAGAACAAAACAGCAAAAGACAAAAUGUUUCGUAAACUUAUUUUACUUAUUGCUGUCGUAUGCCUGGUGGAAACGACGUGGAGUUUAGAACGCAUUGAGUGCUUAUUUCUGACAUUAAUUUAUUUACAAUGGUUAAUAGACGCUGCCAUUUGUCAUCAGUGACAGAAACAUUUAUUACAAACUAAAAGAGAACAUUGGGUUGCGAACCUGGGUGUCGUGCUUCCAAGUGUUAUUACAAUGUGCCAUGUUUGGAAUGCGAACCUGGUUACUGUUUAUAGUAAGUAUUUCUUUCAAAUGAUACUUGAGACUUUUUAUCAGAACAGUGCAGAAUAGCUUACAAAACGAGGGGAAUUCAGAACAUUUUGAGACUAGCGCGCUUCCAUAGAAGCUAUCACAGAUACAAGCACGAUUUUUUUCCAUGGCUUUCUAGGGGGUUUCAUUUGCCAUUAGCCAUGUACAGUAGCAUUUUCAACACAAUUGGUCAAAUUAUAACGUCUAAAGUUUUAACACCUCACACUCUUAUAGUCUUAUUUUAUCACAAUCGUGGAGGCUCCGGGUAGGAAGGAAAUUAGGUCUAUAAAGAUAUUAUUUACUGAAUAUAUCAGCAUAGCAGAAUUUGUAACUGAUGUGCGGUGUUUCUGCCCCAUCCGAAGCCACUGUUUGUAGAUAGGAAAGGGCAUUUGAUAAGGCAGAAUCGAGUGUCCAAGAUUUACUUCGGAUAGGGCGCCCUUAAACGUCAGCUUCCUCUCAGAGCACUGUAGCUCGUAGCAGAAGACUCGAGAUAAACAGUUUCCGAAAUAGCUGCAUCACUGGGCAUUCAUCGGAAAGUAUCCAAGAAAUUCUGACUAGUCACUUAAAAUGAUUAAAGGUGUGUGGAAGGUUGAUACCCCAUCUUUGACCAAAUAGCAAUACACCGAAGUGUACAGUAUUGCAAACAAAAAACUUCUAAAAAUCUAUAAAAAUGCAAACGAAAGGAGGUUUAAUGAACUUCUCACAGGGGAUGGGACAUGGGUAAAUUAUUUCAAACCUCAAAGGCGGACAAACAGCAAACAGUGGCUUCGGAAAGGGCAGGGACGAUCAGCAUAAUCGCAACAGCGCAAAGUUGUAAACCAGUUCUUUACACAAUUUUCUUUAAUUCCAAAGACCCUGUUGCGCAGAUAUCUAGUGCUCCCGGUGGUUCUAAAAUCAUCAAGAAAACAUCGUUAAACGUCGCCCACAAACUGGUUUGGGGCAUCUGCCUUAUUCAUGACAAUGCACAAUAUUGUAAGGCAUUAUUUACAGGAGUAGCAUUUCAAGCAACUGCCGCACCCUCAAUAUUCACCCGACCUAAGUCCAUUUGUUUUAGGGGUGCAUGACGUACAAAAUACGUUAUGAGGUGUUUUUAUGAAGAUAUCAAUUGUUAUUACUAAUAACAUCGUGUUUAAAAUUAAAACAUAUGUGUGCCUGCGAGUUAAAGAAUGUGCUACUGGAAACAACAAUUCGGACAAUAGCGCUUAUUAAUUACAUGCUUUAAACUUUUAACACAUGAAACAUCAAAAUGCUUUAUAUCACUAAUAUGAGAUUUUUUUAUGCCCCCGAAGGGAGGCAUAUAGUUUUUGAACCGUCUGUCAGUCUGUCAGUCUGUCAGUCUGUCUGUCCGCAAUUUUCGUGUCCGGUCCAUAUAUUUGUCAUCGAUAGAUGGAUUUUCAAAUAACUUGGCAUGAAUGUGUACCACAGUAAGACGACGUGUCGUGUGCAAGACCCAGGUCCGUAGCUCAAAGGUCAAGGUCACACUUAGACGUUAAAGGUCAUUUUUCAUGAUAGUGCAUUCGUGUCCGGUCAAUAUCUUUGUCAUCCAUGGAUGGAGUUUCAAAUAACUUGGCAUGAAUGUGUACCACAGUAAGACGACGUGUCGCGCGCAAGACCCAGGUCCGUAGCUCAAAGGUCAAGGUCACACUUAGACGUUUAAGGUCAUUUUUCAUGAUAGUGCAUUCGUGUCCGGUCCAUAUCUUUGUCAUCCAUGGAUGGAUUUUCAAAUAACUUGGCAUGAAUGUGUACCACAGUAAGACGACGUGUCGCGCACAAGACCCAGGUCCGUAGCUCAAAGGUCAAGGUCACACUUAGACGUUAAAGGUCAUACUUCAUGAUAGUGCAUUGAUGGGCGUGUCCGGUCCAUACCUUUGUCAUUCAUGCAUGGAUUUUAAAAUUAUUGGGCAUGAAUGUGUACCACAGUAAGACGACGUGUCGCGCUCAAGACCCAGGUCCGUAGGUCAAAGGUCCUAAACUCUAACAUCGGCCAUAACUAUUCAUUCAGAGUGCCAUUGGGGGCAUGUGUCAUCCUAUGGAGACAGCUCUUGUUUUAUCAAUUCCUUUCUUUGAAAUAAAUUCGUUCACAACCUUACUUGCUGUCUUUAAUCGAAAUGAAUGUAUUUUUUCUCGUUUGUUUUGGGUCUAGUGCCGUUUUUCAUCGGUAUUGUAGUUAUGUAAAGGUGGGCAAUUAACAUUAUAUGUCCAGUGAUCAUUAUUAACCUGUUCUCCACCAGUAAGUGUGAGCUUUUCCACAUGGAUCAGAGGUAGAGAAUGGUUUUAGACAUAUGCUUCGCAUGGGGCUCGAGCUCACAACCCGUGAUCCAUAAAUCUGCUCUGUCACUACCGAGCUAUGCGGACGGGCUAGAAAUUCUUACUAAUAAAUGCUUGAAUUCAUUCACUUCUUUAGAACUCAAUGCUUAAAGAAAGUGUUUUUGUUUAUAAUUUUUCGAUUAUUAUUUAGAAUAAAUAUAAGCAAGGAAUAAGGUUAAGGUAUUCCAGUAACUGUUUAUAUGGUAACGUGGCAAUGCCUUGAAUUCCGAUCUGCACGUGUAACCAGUGAAAAUCCUUAUAGUCUUAAUCUUGAGUGCUUACUCAGUAUCUCCUAUUUUGAUCCUUAAAUUCUAUUAUCGUUAACAUAUGUAUCAAGCGAUAUCAUCUCAUUUUAACGAGACGGAUUUCAGCCAAAUUAAUUUGAAAUUUACUCGAAAUGUUAGGAAAACAAAUGUUUUUACGAAAUUCCCAUAUUCGCGUUUUCUAUUCGUUAGCCAUAAAUUACAUUGUUUACACCAAA